rnacentral:rRNA from 1 species
UAAUACGGAGGAUCCAAGCGUUAUCCGGAUUUAUUGGGUUUAAAGGGUGCGUAGGCGGACUAAUAAGUCAGCGGUGAAAGUUCUGGGCUCAACCGAGAAAUUGCCGUUGAAACUGUUAGUCUUGAGUGUAGAUGAAGUGUGCGGAAUUCGUAGUGUAGCGGUGAAAUGCUUAGAUAUUACGAAGAACUCCAAUUGCGAAGGCAGCUCACUAGGCUACAACUGACGCUGAGGCACGAAGGUGUGGGUAUCAAACAGGAUUAGAUACCCUGGUAGUCCACACAGUAAACGAUGAAUACUAACUGUUUGCGAUACACAGCAAGUGGUACAGCGAAAGCGUUAAGUAUUCCACCUGGGGAGUACGCCGGCAACGGUGAAACUCAAAGGAAUUGACGG